UGCGAGAGUCUUCUACGAGUAUGGAUUUCAACUCUCAAUGAAAGCACCAAUUUGUGGAUGCAAAUUUUCUCCUCUUCGAUCUUGGACGAUUUUGCACCUACAAAACAACUAGCACCUUAGGUUAAGGCCAAAAGCCUCACGCGCCCACGAUGAAUGGGGGGGGCUUUGGCCGAAGAACCUCCGAUGCCAAAGUUAGAAUUUUAGAGAGAAAUAGUGUUUAGAGUGUUUUGGAAUUUUUGCAAGAGAUUUGGAAUGAGUGUUUGGUAAAAAUGGGUGACUAUUUAUAGGACCAAAUUGGUCCACAUCUUCAAGAAAUGGCCGGCCCUUUCUUUGUGCUUUGGGAUGAAUUUUGUGGUUUUAUUAGCCACUUUAUUGGCUAAUAAAAUAUAAUAGAAAUAAAUGGGAAGUUACCCAAUUGAAUGACUAGCAUUAUUUGGCUAAUAAAGUGGAAGAAAUUUGAAAAGGUGUGGAGCAAAGAGAGGGAAUGUGGCCGGUCUACUAGGUGGGAUUUUAGGGUUUAUUUUAGGUUUAAUUAGCCAAUUAAUUGGCUAAUUAAAUAUGAAAGGAAAUGUUUUAGUAUUUAUGGUAUUGAUUGGCUAAUUUAAAAGGGAAGGAAAGGUGGAAAAGGUAGAAAAAGGUGAUGGAAUAGGCUUUGAAUGGGGUAGCCGGCCCUAUAUCAUUUUUUAGGUUUGAGUGGAUGUUUCAAAUUGAUAAUUAAGGGAUGAUUUUAGGAGAUAUGGGAAGAAUAU
rnacentral:lncRNA from 1 species